rnacentral:lncRNA from 1 species
CUGGUAGGACCUAUGUCAAAUCCGACGUGGAAUUCGUGACGGGCUAUUACCGGUGGAACUUACGUCCAAGUUGUGGUGAAACAACAGUGACAGGCGACGGGGGAGGAGCACCGGGACCUUUACCUGUGGAAUCCACGUCAGGUCCGACGAGGAAAGGUGACUAGGUAUGGCUUGAGGAGUUGUAACUGGCGCUAACCCCCGUGGAAACA